rnacentral:rRNA from 1 species
AACGAACGCUGGCGGCAUGCCUAACACAUGCAAGUCGAACGAGACCUUCGGGUCUAGUGGCGCACGGGUGCGUAACGCGUGGGAACCUGCCCUUAGGUUCGGAAUAACUCCCCGACAGGGGUGCUAAUACCGGAUAAUGUCUUCGGACCAAAGAUUUUUCGCCUUUGGAUGGACCCGCGUUGGAUUAGCUAGUUGGUAGGGUAAAAGCCUACCAAGGCGACGAUCCAUAGCUGGUUUCAGAGGAUGAUCAGCCACACUGGGACUGAGACACGGCCCAGACUCCUACGGGAGGCAGCAGUGGGGAAUAUUGGACAGUGGGCGAAAUCCUGAUCCAGCAAUGCCGCGUGAGUGAUGAAGGCCUUAGGGUUGUAAAGCUCUUUUACCCGGGAUGAUAAUGACAGUACCGGGAGAAUAAGCUACGGCUAACUCCGUG